rnacentral:rRNA from 1 species
GCAUUGAGUUUAUUCUUGCGGGAAUUUAGGAGCCAUCAGUGAGAUACCACUCUGGUAAUGUUAGAUUUCUAACUUUGUAUCAUGAUCUGGUCAAAGAACAGUUUCAGGCGGGCAGUUUGACUGGGGCGGUCGCCUCCCAAAUGGUAACGGAGGCGUACAAAGGUUUCCUCUGAACGUGUAGAAAUCGUAUCUAGAGUGUAAAGGCAUAAGGAAGCUUGACUGUGAGACCUACAAGUCGAGCAGGGACGAAAGUCGGUCUUAGUGAUCUGACGGUGCUGAGUGGAAAGGCCGUCACUCAACGGAUAAAAGUUACUCUAGGGAUAACAGGCUGAA